rnacentral:rRNA from 1 species
GAUGAACGCUGGCGGCGUGCCUAACACAUGCAAGUCGAACGAAGCGUCUUAAAGGAAGUUUUCGGAUGGAAUUUGGGAUGACUGAGUGGCGGACGGGUGAGUAACGCGUGGAUAACCUGCCUCAUACAGGGGGAUAACAGCUAGAAAUGGCUGCUAAUACCGCAUAAGCGCACAGUGCCGCAUGGCAGUGUGUGAAAAACUCCGGUGGUAUGAGAUGGAUCCGCGUCUGAUUAGCCAGUUGGUGGGGUAACGGCCCACCAAAGCGACGAUCAGUAGCCGGCCUGAGAGGGUGAACGGCCACAAGGGGACUGAGACACGGCCCUU